GUUUAGGCACUUCUACAAACUUUU
rnacentral:snRNA from 1 species